rnacentral:rRNA from 1 species
GUAGGGAAUAUUGCACAAUGGAGGAAACUCUGAUGCAGCGACGCCGCGUGAGUGAUGAAGGCCUUCGGGUCGUAAAACUCUGUGAUAAGGGAAGAUGAUGACGGUACCUUAUCAGAAAAGACCGGCUAACUUCGUGCCAGCAGCCGCGGUAAUACGAGGGGUCUAAGCGUUGUUCGGAAUCACUGGGCGUAAAGCGGGUGUAGGUGGCUAUGCAAGUUGGAUGUGAAAGCCCCGGGCUCAACCCGGGAAGUGCAUCCAAAACUACGUAGCUUGAGUGCGGGAGAGAAAGGCAGAAUUCCUGGUGUAGUGGUGAAAUACGUAGAUAUCAGGAGGAACUCCGGUGGCGAAGGCGGCCUUUUGGCCCAGCACUGACACUCAGACCCGAAAGCGUGGGUAGCAAACAGGAUUAGAUACCCUUGUAGUCC